UUGGAGGGCAAGUCUGGUGCCAGCAGCCGCGGUAAUUCCAGCUCCAAUAGCGUAUAUUAAAGUUGUUGCAGUUAAAAAGCUCGUAGUUGAAUUUCGGGGUCAGUAGGUUGGUCGUGCCACCGGUACGUACUGAUCUCACUGAUUCCUCCUUCCUGAUGAGCUGUAAUGCCAUUAAUUUGGUGUUGCAGGGAAUCUGGACUGUUACUUUGAAAAAAUUAGAGUGUUUAAAGCAGGCUAACGCUUGAAUACAUUAGCAUGGAAUAAUGAAAUAGGACGUUCGAUCCUAUUUUGUUGGUUUCUAGGAUUGACGUAAUGAUUAAUAGGGAUAGUUGGGGGCAUUAGUAUUCAAUUGUCAGAGGUGAAAUUCUUGGAUUUAUUGAAGACUAACUACUGCGAAAGCAUUUGCCAAGGAUGUUUUCGUUAAUCAAGAACGAAAGUUAGGGGAUCGAAGACGAUCAGAUACCGUCGUAGUCUUAACCAUAAACUAUGCCGACUAGGGAUCGGAUGAUGUUAAUUUUUUAAUGACUCAUUCGGCGCCUUACGGGAAAC
rnacentral:rRNA from 1 species